CCAGUUGUAAGAACCGCGAGAACCACUUUCAACCAAUCAAAUUAUGCCAACAUAAAGGUUAUUUUGGUCAUUUACACCAAAUAUCAAAUCUCUUCUCUCUCUCUCCAUUUAUUGCCAUCAGAGAAUUUAAAUUCUCUUACUUUUCUCUCUCUUCAAAAUAUAACCCUUCACCUUCACCUUCACCUUGACAAUUCUCUGUUUUCCAUUUCAUUAAUUUAGAGAAACUUCAGACCUCAAACCCUAACCCCAAACAAACCAGCCGCACCUUCCUUCUCUCUCGCAACUCCGGUCGACGGAGCAACUCCGGUCGGCUGCUAGCGGCAAUUUAAGUCCGGCAACCCCUUUUUCUUCUCUCCCCUUCUCGUUUUCAGUCCGACAACACACAAGAAGGAGCCGACGUUGGUUUCUGGCUCGGCUGUUGAUGAUGAUGACGGCGAUUUUGAUGGUGAUGGUGGUUCCGGUGACGACUCCAGCAGCCAAGUUUUCUACUUCAAUACUGAGAUCAAUCUUGGCUUGAAUGAAUUUUGGAGUUGAAAUGAGCAGGUUCAAAGUGAUCUAAUUAUGACGACGAGAUUGAUGAUGAUGCGAGGAUGGUGUCGACGGCAAAAAACUGCCCCAGCCGGCGGUGGUGGGGCUGGCCGGCGGCGGCAGUAGCUGUGGUGGUGUUACUGUUCAAGUUUUGGCUUCGAGUCUCGGUUUAAGAUGCGGGUUCGAGUCAAGAAUGCAAACUCGCUUCAGAUUCAGUUUCGGUUCAGAUUUGGUUCGGGUUUCGCGGCACGGUCGGUCCAGGUCAACUCAGUUCAAUCAACGAAAUUAAACACGAGACUUGGUAAACUCGGUCAACGAAAUUAAACACUAGACUCGGUUAUGCAUUGUGGAUUUGCUUGUUUUCAGCAAACUAGUUUUUUGAAAUUUGAAAGGGUUUAUAUUUGCUUUAGAAUUGAUCCUGGAUGCCCAACCAUUUGUGUUUUUGAUAUUGCGGGUUUGAGAAUUGAUCCUGUCUUCCGUUGUUUUCU
rnacentral:lncRNA from 1 species